UACGUAGGGUGCGAGCGUUAAUCGGAAUUACUGGGCGUAAAGCGUGCGCAGGCGGUUUUGUAAGCCAGAUGUGAAAUCCCCAGGCUCAACCUGGGAACUGCAUUUGAAACUCCCCUUCUUGAGUAUCGGAGAGGAAAGCGGAAUUCCUGGUGUAGAGGUGAAAUUCGUAGAUAUCAGGAGGAACACCCGUGGCGAAGGCGGCUCUCUGGACCGACACUGACGCUGAGGCGCGAAAGCGUGGGGAGCAAACAGG
rnacentral:rRNA from 1 species